UGAGAUAGAGAGCUGUGGUGUAUGAAGGGCGCUGUGUGCAGCUUCCUUAUUUAACCUGGAUUUUCUCUCAACAAGACAGUGAAGCGUGCCAUGGGUGCCUGUGUGUGCUGGUGCAGGCGUAGUGCCUCCCGGGAGGUGCCUGGAUCUGCUCAUGAGAGCCAGGAAGGCUCAUAAUACUGCUUCUCCUUGCACCGAGCAUCGCCAAGCGGCACCAGAGAGGCACGAGUACGUAAAAUUGGUCAUCAGGUCCUGUUCCUUCUCCUUCGCUGUGACCUUUCCUUCCCACGUACGCGUUACCAAGAAGAUAAACAAGCAGCGAGAGGAUAACGAAGGCCGGGAGGGUUGUGGCAAUGUGGCACCCGCGCC